AAUUUUGGACAAUGGGGGCAACCCUGAUCCAGCCAUCCCGCGUGUGCGAUGAAGGCCUUCGGGUUGUAAAGCACUUUUGGCAGGGAAGAAAAGGCUCUGGCUAAUACCCGGAGCUGCUGACGGUCCCUGCAGAAUAAGCACCGGCUAACUACGUGCCAGCAGCCCCGGUAAUACGUAGGGUCCAAGCGCUAAACGGAAUUACUGGGCGUAAAGCUUGCGCAGGCGGUUCGGCAAGAAGGAUGUGAAAUCCCAGGGCUUAACCUUGGAACUGCAUUCUUAACUGCCGGGCUAGAGUAUGUCAGAGGGGGGUAGAAUUCCGCGUGUAGCAGUGAAAUGCGUAGAGAUGCGGAGGAAGACCGAUGGCGAAGGCGACUACCUGGACUGAUACUGACACUGAGGUGCGAAAGCGUGGGGAGCAAAC
rnacentral:rRNA from 1 species